AUGUUUCAGCGGCCACUCAAGAUGGCUAAUAAACAGCUUGCGUAUUUGCUCAGCUGCUCUAUGGCGAGCUCGGAGUACAGCAGCUUUAGUCCACUGCACUCCAUCCCGGUCUUCUGCUUUGCUUGCAGUGCCGUGUUUUCCGACAAAGCCUCUCUGGAGACUCACCUGUGCCCCGCAGCAAGUUUCAUCUGCUCCUGUGGUAUGGGAUUCUCCAAUUACACGGACAUGCUGUCCCAUCGUAUCAGACACGAAACCGCCAGGAUGGUCGGUUUCCUACCACAAUGCAACAGCAUUGUGCAUAAGAAGUCGGACAGUCAAAUAGCAAAGACAAAGGAAAAUCCAGGCAUACAGAAGCAGGUGGCGAAGACCCCAAGUGUGGUGACCAGUCCUGUUGCUCCCGUAAAGCCUGCGUCUCGCAUGGAUUCCGGCGGCACCACCGUGAGCCUCAGUCGGCGCUUCAGGCCUGCUGUGGUACUGAAAACCAAGCAAAGGUUUUGUGGGGACGGACGGUACGUGUGCGCAAGAUGCUUGAAUGUUUUCAGUAGCCAGGACAGCCUCAUCGAACAUGUUGCUACCCACGCUACUACUGGCGUGUAUGGGUGCCGUCAUUGUGGCCUCCUCCUGCUCAGUUAUUCACCCCCCUCAUUCCACUACCAGUGUCGUAAAGAUAAUGCCCAAGAUGUGAACAGGUUUACAGAAGGCAGGUUUGUCUCAAGCCAGCCGGUGGCCAAGAAAUACCCAAUUAAUAAGUGUCCGCAUUGUCCUGCAUCGUAUUACACGGAGUGGCAUUUAAGGUGCCAUGUUCAAAAGCAGCAUGCGAGUGAGAAAAAUUUACCUAGUGCUGUUGAGAAAGCCCAGGAAAUAUCCCCAAACAAAGGAGAACAAUCUAAAACAGUGUCUUGUCUAAAAGUUGAAGAAGCCCAUAGAUGUGUGAUCUGUAACGUGACAUUUACGACCAUUGACAAGCUGGGCCAACACUGGUGCACCAAAAACCUUAUUUUGAUCAAGCAAGAGCGAGCACACAGUGAUGCUUCAAAACGAACAAAGCUCUUCGGAGGACAAGAAAGGAUGCAUCCGUACCGCAAGACUGCAAGGGACACGGACAAGGAAGUGACUGUUCGACUUCAGACUACGCACAGUGUUUUUAGAAAUGCUAAAUCUGAAGCAUGCGAGGUGAAUAGUCCCGUACCGUCAUUCACGACAACUGGCGUACAGACUAAAGUAGAAUGGGAUGAUGGAAGUUAUGACAUGGCCGACACUCACAGAAAUGAGAAAUGA
ensembl:lncRNA